UACGAAGGGUGCAAGCGUUAAUCGGAAUUACUGGGCGUAAAGGGUGCGUAAGCGGUUCGUUAAGUCUGUCGUGAAAUCCCCGGGCUCAACCUGGGAAUGGCGAUGGAUACUGGCGAGCUAGAGUGUGUCAGAGGAUGGUGGAAUUCCCGGUGUAGCGGUGAAAUGCGUAGAGAUCGGGAGGAACAUCAGUGGCGAAGGCGGCCAUCUGGGACAACACUGACGCUGAAGCACGAAAGCGUGGGGAGCAAACAGG
rnacentral:rRNA from 1 species